UCGGUAGCAGGAGUCGUCUCCAUCUCUUUCGCGCGAUGCGAAGUGCAAUGGGACAGGGCAGCAUUGGAUCGGUGGCGAGGAACAUCAACGAAUGCGAUAUAGCACGACAAAAAUUUCAAGGGUCUUCUAUCUCAGGUUUUGUUGACAAGGUAGGAGCCCGAGUUGGACCAUUACGCACUGCCCGGAAGGGGGUACAGAGCAGGAACGUUGAAGGGAUAGGGGUGCAGUAGAAUUAAAAAGGUGGAGCCAUGCUUCGAGUGCGUGCAAUGUCCUUCUUCACGGGGUUCGCAGUGGCUUCGGGCAUUGCCAUGUUCCAGCUGCAGAGGGAUGUGUGGGGCAGCCACCACAAUCUCUCCGAUGAGGCAGAGGAACAUUUUUCACAAUUGGAGAAACGGAUACAACAACUUGAAAGUGCGGCUGGUAGUGGGGCCGGUUCUUCUCGACCUCACCUGGCUGUGCAACGCGAUUGAUGACACAUUUGAUUUAAUUUAAUAUUUUCAUAAUAUUGUGCCCAGGGCUUCUGGCAUAUCUUGCUUGUUAUAAAGUAGUUUUUCGACAACAUAAUAGAGAAUAUUGCCGAUUAAUCUGCAACAGAGUUCUGCAUGACGUAAAUUUUCUCCUAUUGUUAUCGACAUCGCUCAUUCUCUUGUAAAGUUGAAGUUCCUGCGCCUUCAGUUUUCAAUUCAUGGAAAUAGAGAUGAAUGCUGCACUGGACACGAUAAUUCAGUCCAAUUUCUGUUCAAGAAGCAUUCUUGCAUACUUGUAGCAUAAGGAUACUCUGUAAUAUACUCUAUUUUCGCCCCUAGA